UACGAAGGGGGCUAGCGUUGAUAGGAAUCACUGGGCGUAAAGCGCACGCAGGCGGACCGAUAAGUCGGGGGUGAAAGCCCGGGGCUCAACCUCGGAAUUGCCUUCGAUACUGUCGGUCUCGAGUCCGGGAGAGGUGAGUGGAAUUCCUAGUGUAGAGGUGAAAUUCGUAGAUAUUAGGAAGAACACCAGUGGCGAAGGCGGCUCACUGGCCCGGUACUGACGCUCAGGUGCGAAAGCGUGGGGAGCAAACAGG
rnacentral:rRNA from 1 species